UACAGAGGUCUCAAGCGUUGUUCGGAUUCAUUGGGCGUAAAGGGUGCGUAGGUGGUGAGGUAAGUCGGAUGUGAAAUCUCCGAGCUCAACUCGGAAACUGCAUUGGAAACUACCUUGCUCGAGGGUUGGAGGGGGGACUGGAAUGCUUGGUGUAGCAGUGAAAUGCGUAGAUAUCAAGCGGAACACCAGUGGCGAAGGCGAGUCCCUGGACAACUCCUGACACUGAUGCACGAAAGCUAGGGGAGCAAACAGG
rnacentral:rRNA from 1 species